rnacentral:rRNA from 1 species
GCGCGAAAACUUUACAAUGCGGGAAACCGUGAUAAGGGAAUCUCGAGUGCCAGCAUAUAAUGUUGGCUGUCCAGAUGCCUAAAAAGCAUCUGUUAGCAAGGGCCGGGCAAGACCGGUGCCAGCCGCCGCGGUAACACCGGCGGCCCGAGUGGUAACCGCUUUUAUUGGGUCUAAAGGGUCUGUAGCCGGCCAAGUAGGUCCCCUGGGAAAUCUGGCAGCUUAACUGUCAGGCUGCUAGGGGAUACUGCUAGGCUUGGGACCGGGAGAGGUGAGAGGUACCUUGGGGGUAGGGGUGAAAUCUUGUGAUCCGUCGGGGGCCACCGAGUGGCGAAGGCGUCUCACCAGAACGGGUCCGACGGUAAGGGACGAAAGCUAGGGGCACGAACCGGAUUAGAUACCCGU